rnacentral:tRNA from 1 species
UGGUGUGAAGUCAAGUUGGGUAUACGCUUGGUUUUUAAUCAAGAGAACGCCGGUUCGAGUCCGGUCACGCCAA